rnacentral:lncRNA from 1 species
CUGUAGUAGUGUGAGUGAUCCUUUGACCUAUGGUGUCAUUGGCUAUUCGCAGUGAGGCUACUGGGUUUGACUGUACAUUCUCUUAGUUUCUAGCCAUUCGGAUCUUUGCUGUAUAUGUUGGUUUCAGUAGGUUCGGGUUCGCUAUUUGGAGUAGGAUGCACCUAGAUGGAAUCUAUUGAUCUUGGUAGAAAAGGAGAAGUCCUAUGCACUUUGCGAGAC